UACGUAGGGUGCAAGCGUUGUCCGGAAUUAUUGGGCGUAAAGAGCUCGUAGGCGGUUUGUCGCGUCUGCUGUGAAAACUCGGGGCUCAACUCCGAGCUUGCAGUGGGUACGGGCAGACUAGAGUGCGGUAGGGGAGACUGGAAUUCCUGGUGUAGCGGUGGAAUGCGCAGAUAUCAGGAGGAACACCGGUGGCGAAGGCGGGUCUCUGGGCCGUAACUGACGCUGAGGCACGAAGGCCAGAGGAGCAAACGGG
rnacentral:rRNA from 1 species